ACGCAUCCCGCUCCUCAUUUACAUAAGGUCGAGGUCUUGGCUACUUUAUUUAAAUCAGGGGCGUCCGGCGCGACUCGCCGCCUCUGGAAACUCUCUAGAAACUGUUAAACUAACCGUUGAUCUAGCAUAAAC